rnacentral:rRNA from 1 species
AACGAACGCUGGCGGCAUGCCUAACACAUGCAAGUCGAACGAGACCUUCGGGUCUAGUGGCGCACGGGUGCGUAACGCGUGGGAACCUGCCCUUAGGUUCGGAAUAACUCCCCGAAAGGGGUGCUAAUACCGGAUCAUGUCUUCGGACCAAGGAUUUAUCGCCUUUGGAUGGGCCCGCGUUGGAUUAGCUAGUUGGUAGGGUAAAAGCCUACCAAGGCGACGAUCCAUAGCUGGUCUGAGAGGAUGAUCAGCCACACUGGGACUGAGACACGGCCCAGACUCCUACGGGAGGCAGCAGUGGGGAAUAUUGGACAAUGGGCGAAAGCCUGAUCCAGCAAUGCCGCGUGAGUGAUGAAGGCCUUAGGGUUGUAAAGCUCUUUUACCCGGGAUGAUAAUGACAGUACCGGGAGAAUAAGCGCCGGCUAACUCCGUG